GGGUAGUUUGACUGGGGCGGUCUCCUCCCAAAGAGUAACGGAGGAGCACGAAGGUGGGCUAAUCACGGUUGGACAUCGUGAGGUUAGUGCAAUGGCAUAAGCCCGCUUAACUGCGAGAAUGACGGUUCGAGCAGGUGCGAAAGCAGGUCAUAGUGAUCCGGUGGUUCUGUAUGGAAGGGCCAUCGCUCAACGGAUAAAAGGUACUCCGGGGAUAACAGGCUGAUACCGCCCAAGAGUUCAUAUCGACGGCGGUGUUUGGCACCUCGAUGUCGGCUCAUCACAUCCUGGGGCUGAAGUCGGUCCCAAGGGUAUGGCUGUUCGCCAUUUAAAGUGGUACGCGAGCUGGGUUUAGAACGUCGUGAGACAGUUCGGUCCCUAUCUGCCGUGGGCGUUGGAAGAUUGAAGGGGGCUGCUCCUAGUACGAGAGGACCGGAGUGGACGAACCUCUGGUGUUCGGGUUGUGUCGCCAGACGCAUUGCCCGGUAGCUAAGUUCGGAAUUGAUAAGCGCUGAAAGCAUCUAAGCGCGAAGCGAGCCCUGAGAUGAGUCUUCCCUGAUACUUUAAGUAUCCUAAAGGGUUGUUCGAGACUAGAACGUUGAUAGGCAGGGUGUGUAAGCGUUGUGAGGCGUUGAGCUAACCUGUACUAAUUGCCCGUGAGGCUUAACCAUACAACACCCAAGGGGUUUUGUA
rnacentral:rRNA from 1 species